UUGUAGAUAUUUUCCCAAGGUUUUCACCACUACAAGGACAAAUCCUGGGUAAAAGAAAUGCACUAUCCUAUCUUGGAAAGAGUAAGAGAUUUUAUGAUUAUGGAAGUUCGUACCAAGGAAUAGUGUGUGAAUGUUGCUACAAUCAUUGCAGUCUAGAUGAGCUUUCUCAAUACUGUCUCUUCGACAAGAAAGAUUCAUAACAACAGCAGACUACAACAUCGAAAAUGUACUGAGAGGUAUUCGUUAUCUACAUAAGAAGACAGAAGUGUUAGUAAAACCAGAAUAUUGUCCUUGUACCAACUUUUGUAUAAUUGAUUUAUCUCGAGAUAUUUAAGUGUAUUAUGUGAUGGUAACUAUAGUACAUGUUGUAUGAACGCAAUUGUGCACCUUACACAAAAGACACACUAAACGAA
rnacentral:lncRNA from 1 species